CCGAGAUAGGGUCCUCCGGGGCCCGACCUCCCAUCCUGUGUCUACUUGACCUCUGUUGCCUCGGCGGUCUCGCCCGUCGAGGACUUUAUCAAACUCUUGUUAAAUUGUGUCAGUCUGAGCGUGAAAAUAAAAUAAGCACA
rnacentral:misc_RNA from 1 species